ensembl:lncRNA
AUGUGCCCCUGGGGGGCAGGGAGGCAGGGGACCGAGACCCUCCGGCCUCUCCACCCUCCUGGGAUACCCCUGCAGCCGCCUACAAAGGACCCCUGGUCUGGGGUCGAGGCUCUGGGGGUCCCUCCCGCCUCUCCCCACUUCUGCCCCUGCUGGCAGUCCUCCGUGGUCCUGGGCUUCUCUGCUUCUCUGGUCCUGUGGUCUCCCCACGUCCCUCUCCUCAGGACAGAAGUCACAGGAGGAGGGCCCGCCGCGCUCCAGGCUGAACCCAUCUCAAUGCGAUCACAUCUGCGAGGGCCUCGUGGCAGGCAGAACCACACAGCAAGGGAGGCCUGCAUGCGGACAGGAGCGAAGUCAGCCGGGUUUCCAUCGAAGGACCCGCCACGGGCCUGCAGCUCACCGGGCGGUCACCGGUUCCUUGUGGCAUCUGCAGCGGGCGGUGGGUCCCCACGGGAGCAAGGAGGGAGGGAGAGGACAGUGAAGGAGGGAGGCCAGAGCGUUCUUCCCCAGGUCCCGGCACAGCCUGCCCCUCCUUCCCUGGACCUCUGCUCCUGGGUCACCUCCUCGCACAAGCCUCCUGCACUGACCCCACCCGCACGGCACCCUGGCACUGUGCCUCCCUGCCCCACACACUCCUGCCUAGUGUCCUCUCUUCUCCUCCCUGGAGCUCGGGCACCAACCGGAGAGCCUCCGAGAAGGGAAGCUCCAGGUUACUGUCCCGCACCAGGGCCAAGCACAGCAGGAAGGUGCCCCACGGACCCACUCAAGUCCGGGAAACCCAUCCCGCUGCACGCAGAACCCAGUGACCUCCUCCACACCCCUGCUCAAAUCCCUCCAGCAGCUCCCCCUGCCCGGGCUGGGUCAGCUCAGGUGGCCAUUCAGCACGGAACCAGGUGUGUUAACGGCUGGGUGAGGGGCCUAGUUCCACAGACAGACAGACGGCGGGGCGGACAGGCAGGCAGGCUGCGGCGGCCUAGGUCCAGGCACAUGGCAUCAGGUUCCCUGGGACCCGCAGGGCCUCGGCAGCAGGGCAGUGGGAGGAACGGAGCUCUUGGAGCUCCUGCCCGGGCUGGGGGCGGGUGCAGGGACACCUGCGUGUUCUUCCUUUGCAUUAACUCCAAGGCUCGCUGUCCUAAGUGGGAAACUGCUGUUAGCACAGCCACGCUCCUGACCCCCGCUCUGGCAAAGGAGGCCAGAUAGCCCCCGUGAGUGAGGGCCUCUGGGGAGCAGCGGGAGGGGUGUGUGUCACCUGCACGGGCAGCAGCCCACCUCCCCUGGCACCCAAACGUCCCCUGGCUCAGAGGGACUUCCCAGCUUGCCGACAGGUGGGCGAGACAAGGGGAGCCACCCCCCUCUUUGCACGCUCACCCUGCACCAGCAGAGCCCUGUCACCCCUCCCCAGCCCUGCCCUCAGGGAACCAGCAUUCCUUCCAUGGAGGGGAGCCAGUGAGUGACAAUACCAGUGAGUCCCUCCCCGCCCAGCCUCACGGGGCAGCCAGGGGCACAAGGUGCCACAUGGUGGGUGCCCAGCCCACACACGGCCCCCACCCCCGCAGGGCAACGGCAUGAAUGCAAGUCAGAGCGCGGUGGCUCGGCCCAGCACCGGUGUCCUGGACCAGGUUGGGCAGUGGCCCUGGGCGCCCAUGUCCAAGCCCUGCUCGCUGUAAGGGGCCCUACUCCCGUUAGGGCCCCCGGCCUGCACAUCCCAGAGGGCAUGCCCGAGGGAUGGCCGGCUGAUUUCCCCUCCGGUGGCUGAGGCACCGCAGACCCAGGCUGGGGCGGGCCCUCACCUCCAGCUGGGCCAACGCACUCUCGGCCACAUGAAAGACUCUCAACUUUCCUUGCUGAUUUUUGAGAAUUAUUGCACCAAAUGUUUACCAGUGAAAUGCCGAUUGUGAUGAUAACGAGGCUGCAGAAGCCAAGAGAAAGAGCCCAGGGCGGGAGAGAGGGAGGUCACAGAACCCCUUUCUGGGCGCGGAGCUCCAAUCCCAGGCGAGGCCCGCUGGAAUUUGCCACCAAAGUGCCUGUUUUCAUUUAAAUGGCCCAGAGCGAGUCUCCGACUAAACUAACAUUCCCAGGCCAACACGCAGCAGCGCCUCUGGGUUUUGGCACAUUUUUUCCUGAGCUGUCAAGGCAGAAAUAGAGAAGAAUUCCGGUCUUACUUACGGAUGGUGGGGGGUUUUUCCCUUCCCCUUGGAGACAUGGAAAUAACUCACAGAUGUGUCCUACCUGCUAAUGUCUGUGCUCGGGUUUGCUUCAGGAACACAAGUCCCUGGGCGCCCUGUAACCCAAACCCUGAUCUCCAGCCCCACUUGCUUUGUAACAGGGGGCCUGGGGAAGUGUGGGGGAGGACGGAAGUUCUAAACAUGUUUAAAUGUGUCGGGAGCAAAUGGGAGGGAGCCCAGGCCGCCCUGAGAAACAGGCUGAGGCCAGGGAUGGCAGAGCCCCACCUGGGCCCAGAGGCUCCUGGCCCCUCUUGAGCAAUUCUCCCCCGUAAAAAUAAAAGUGGACUUACUUUUAAAGAGAAAUUUCCAGCUAUUUUUAACCCCAGAAAGGAAGCAAGGGAAGGAGGAGGAGGCAGGGAGGGAGGGAGAGAGGGAGGGAGGCAGGGGAGAGGGAGGAGGGACUCCCGGCAUGGCCGGGCUUUUCCUUGAGUGACUCAGGCUGUGCGAGCUGUGGCGUUUCUACCAGAGCCUGAGGGGUGGGGCCAAACAGUUUCGUCCCCUGGGGCCCUUUCUUUUUGGAGAAAGUUCUGGGCUGCAGCCAAAGGGGUGGGCGGGUCCCCUGAGCUGUGCUCCUUGGAGCCCCCCUUCUACCCCUGCAGGUUCUGUGGGGUCUUGGGACCCAGAGGGUGAGGACUGGUGUGUGCAGACCGGUGCCAGGCUGGGCUCAGGUGACCACACUAGUGCCCUGUCCAUCCAAUGGGCAUGGCGACAGCUUCCCUGUUGGGCCCACCCCUCGGCCAGCCCCUGCCUGGAGGGGUCAUCUCUGAGCUCCAAAGCCUUCUCAGAGCCUGCCCCCACGAUGUCUGUCCUCCACGAAGCUCCCCAGAUUUUCUCCGCAUCCAAACAGUACCCUGGAGUCCCUGUAGGACCUUUCCUCCUUGGAGCCUCGGCUUCCAAGGGACAGCGACAGGUGAGCCACCAAACUCUGAGUGACCCAUCCCCAGGCCCGGCUGGGCUGGGUUCCAGCUCUGUGGCCCCCUGAGGGGAUCCGGGGGCCUGGAGAGGUCCUUCUCAGGGCGUGGGACUCCAUGCCCAGGGCCACCUACAGCUGGGGUUUCCGCUCUGAGCAUUCUAGGGGCUGCUGGGAGAGGCAGGUGGUCUCUGCAGGGUCUGUAGUGCUUUGGCCCCCCUGCAGCCCGUUUCUCAAGUGACAAGUCUCGUGGCCCUCAGAGGACACCCCAGCCCGUGCUCACUAGCUCACCUGCUCAGGGAGGCAGGCUACCUGUUUGGGGACUUGCCCGGGCAACACACUCCCCAGGCUCUGGGCCUGCCUCUGCGAUGCCAACCCUCCUUCCUGGACCUCGCCGGCAGGAGGGAGCUGGCCCUCGGCCUGCGCUGACAAGAGGCCUUGGGGGUCCUAAGCAGUGACCACCAGGGGUGAUAGGUG